CAUGGGCAAUGGAGGAGUCAGAAGACACCAAACAGUUGGGGUGAGUAUUUAUUUACUCUUUCUUCUACACAAAAACUUUAACAUAAAAGUGCUCUCAGUAGCCAACUUGAACAAAAACACUAUGUGUUUAUGCCACUCUUGCAGACAUUCCUCCACAUCAUAGAUCAAGCAUUGAUCAGAUGCAGCUUGUUUUGUUUUGCAGGGAGCAGGACUUCAAGUUCUUUGGAGAAAGUUUUCAGCCCUCUCAUCAAAGAUCUCAAAGAUACCGAGAACAAUGUCUACCUGGUUUGAAGAGGUAGAGGGCAUAAUUCUGCAGGCAUUGCCCAAUCUAUCCUGAGACAUUCUGCAACAGAUCAUUUCUAAACUUCAGAGCUCUGGACUAGAAAGCAAAGAAGACUUAAAAUAUGUCCAGCAAGAAGACCUUAAUGAUAUUUCACCAGUUAUUCAACUCAGAAAGCUGCUUCAAAUGUUUAAAUUAGAAACUGAGGUGGUUACUCUGAACUUGGAAGCAGUUUCAAGCCUGUCUACACUUUAUAAUCCACCUAAAAUGUCAAGCACACCUGAGUGUUCCUCUUCAUCCUCUCUCUCAAGUCCAGCACAUCCUGGCCUGUCUUGCAAUACGUCCCAUUCUGAGGCAGCCAGGCCAAGUUUGAACUCUACACAAGCUAACAUCAUCUCCAAGACAUGGCCAGAGACUUCAAGUCCCUUGGGAGCAAAUGCCUCUUGAAAUCUGGCAAUCUCUACAGGAGAAAGACCCAAACCUGCUGAAAGGUGCCAUAUGGUGAGAGUUCUGGUUGAUGAGAUCCGUAAGUUUGAGAUUUGCCCAACACGUCCUCAAUGUCUUACAAUCUGUCAAAAGAUUGUUAGGGAGUACCCUGACAGCUUCAGAGACAAAUUUCCAAAUAGUUUGUUAAUUGGAGGAGGUUAUACAUCACACCUACUACAAGUGAAGACGUGAGUUGAAAAUCUGAACUGCGAGAGCAGUUUUGUCUGUCAUAGAUCAAGGCCGAACUCUGGAUGCAAGAGAGGACCAACUGACACCUAUGGAUGUGUCAGAUUUUAGCCACAGCUUCCACAAGAAGAGACAGAGGAGAGGAUAGAGGCCAAACGUCAGCAACUACAGGACAUUUAUAGCCAUGAGGGAAUUGGCGGGUAGAGAGAGCAGAAGUAAAGAAUCACAUGGAGACUACAUUCUGUCUUCUUCGUCAGCAUUUAAAUUCCACUCCAGCACCUUCAGUUGAAGAUAUUAGGAGAAAGUGGCCUUACCUGUUCCACCAGAAGUCUAUCUGUGCCAAUUUUUACUUGCUCACUGAAAUUGAUGUACUGCAUGCUUUGGAGAUGUCCAUGAAAGAAUGCGGAAGAGCCAUCAUUGAGUUUUUUAAAAGCAAAUCAAAUGACAAGAAGGAUGUCCUGUGCCAGGUUGGCAACAUGGAGAUGAUUCACCUUAUUAUCAAGCUUCUAAUGGCACAUUUUUAGGAAAAUGAAAAUGUACUGAUGUUGCAUGCAGAUGUUGCUGCAUCUCCAGCUGAUUUUGAAAGGACUCUCAAUCUACCUGCCAGCCCUCAACUGAUUUUGUUGGGUAUGUCAGAGGAGACCAGUGCUGCAUGAUGGAUGGUAAGCCUAGAGAGCACUGUUAUUUGUGAAGGAGUCCAUUCUACGUUUUUGCCUGGCGUUGCGACAGCAUUUGCCAUGUAUUAUGUCUUCAACCUUCAAUACCAGGAGUCUUACUGCACCUUAGAAUUCAUUCAAAGACACUUCAUUGGAAUAAACCCUGAAAGAGGUUCGAAGACCAGCUGAGGCAAAGUAGUGUCUAAGAAGACAGGCAAGCUCGUUAGAAAAAAGUCUGCAACAGUCAAUCCGAAGGUCGCCUCUCUAUUAAAAAA